AUCAUUUCAGAAAUGAAAGUGAAAGAACAGUGAAGUCACACACGUCGUUGUUGACACUGUACAAUCUGACAACUGGAGCAUUUGUCGUGUGUCAUUUCUUCAUUCUCCACCUGCUCAGCAGCAGCUCUCCUUCAAUUCAUCCAGCAGAGUGUUUUAGUUGUGAUGGCAGCAUCAGUGUCACCCAGCAGCAGAGGACUGGCUACAGUCAGAACCUCCAAAGGCCUCUUCCUCAUCUUCUCUCUGCUCUGUCUGCUUCAUGUUGCAACUUCACAGACAAGUAACAUGGACAAACUGAUUGCAAUGAUAAAGCAACGACGCUCAGGUGAUUCUUCUUGGACAUUUCUGCUGUCACUUAAGGACCACUAUCAGAAAGCAGAGCUAGAACUAGUUAGAAACAAGACGGCACACAAGACAAGAGUUGAAACUGUUUCAGUUGUAUUUGAUGAAGUCAAAGAUCAGCUUGAUUAUGUUUUGGAGCUGGUGGGGGAAGUGUCUGAUGAGUCUGAACUGAAGGAGAGGAUAAAGGAUUUCGUGGAGAAAACCUGGGAUUACAUAGACAAAAAAAUGUUCAACUACGCUCAACAACUAGAUCUAAAUGAAAAAACACUGAAAAUUAUUAAAUCAACAAUAACAUUCUUAGAGCUUGAUCACACUAAACUGUAACAGUUCUGCUUCACAUCUCUGUCUCUGUUGAUCUGUGUAAUAUUCUGUGCAGCUUUAGUUUUUGUGAAUCCUGGUUUCCUCUCUGUUUAACGUGUGUGAGUGGUGCGAUAUGACACAGAACAUGUCAAUGCAUGCUCUUUGAAUACUUCUCUUGGCACUUCUUGUAAAGGUGAAAGCUGUUACGUAACCUUUUAUUGCAGUGAUUAAAGAGACUGAUUUGCUAAGUUUAGUUUCAGUCCUGACUAGUGGUUCAUUUUCUGUCAAUCACUUCUGUAAUUAAAUCAUUGUACAUGAGUUUAACCUGUUGUUUAUAUACAUAUGAAUAUAUCCAGCUUAAAUAAAUGUAAUAUAUAAAAACAUUUUACCUCA